rnacentral:rRNA from 1 species
UACAGAGGGUGCAAGCGUUAAUCGGAAUUACUGGGCGUAAAGCGUGCGUAGACGGUUAUGUAAGUCGGGUGUGAAAGCCCCGGGCUCAACCUGGGAAUGCCAUUCGAGACUGCAUAGCUAGGGUGCGGAAGAGGGAAGCGGAAUUUCCGGUGUAGCGGUGAAAUGCGUAGAUAUCGGAAGGAACACCAGUGGCGAAAGCGGCUGCCUGGCCCAAUACUGACACUCAGGUGCGACAGCGUGGGGAGCAAACAGG